AAGUCGUAACAAGGUUUCCGUAGGUGAACCUGCGGAAGGAUCAUUACCGAAUCGUCGACACGAGUUGUUGCUGGCCCUCAAACGGGGGCAUGUGCACGCUCUGUUUGCAUCCACUCACACCUGUGCACCCUCUGUAGUUCUGUGGUCUGGGGGACCCCUCCUGCCUGCGGUUCUAUGUCUUUACACACACACUGUAACAUGGUCUUAUGGAAUGCAUGCAGCGUUUAACGCGAUAAAAUACAACUUUCAGCAACGGAUCUCUUGGCUCUCGCAUCGAUGAAGAACGCAGUGAAAUGCGAUAAGUAAUGCGAAUUGCAGAAUUCCAGUGAGUCAUCGAAUCUUUGAACGCACAUUGCGCCCUUUGGUAUUCCGAAGGGCAUACCUGUUCGAGCGUCAUUAUCACCCCUCAAGCCCCGUGCUUGGUGUUGGACGGCCGGUCGAGGCACCUCGACCCCUCCUAAAGACAAUGACGGCGGCCUGUGGUUCCCCCGGUACACUGAGCUUUUAACUGAGCACGUAUCGGACAAGGGCGCCCAGGACCCGGUCCUCUCCUUUGACUAGGAAACUUCUUCAAGGUUGACCUCGGAUCAGGUAGGAAUACGCGCUGAACUUAA
rnacentral:rRNA from 1 species